CUGAGCCAGGAUCAAAUCAAAUUAACCCCGUAACUUCGGGAUAAGGGGAGCCUCCGAGAUUUAGCGUGAACAGCGCGAAGGUUUUGGAGGCCGCAGAGAAAUGGCAGAAGCGACUGUUUACCAAAAACACAGGGCCAUGCAAACUCGCAAGAGGAAGUAUAUGGUCUGACACGUGCCCGGUGCUGGAAGGUUAACAGGAGAUGUCAGCGCAAGCGAAGCAUUGAAUCGAAGCCCCAGUAAACGGCGGCCGUAACGAUAACGGUCCUAAGGUAGCGAAAUUCCUUGUCGGGUAAGUUCCGACCUGCACGAAUCGUGUAACGACUUCUGCACUGUCUCCUCCCGGGACUCGGCGAAAUUGCAGUGUCGGUGAAGAUGCCGACAACCCGCACCUGGACGGAAAGACCCCAUGAACCUUCACUGUAUCUUGGCAUUGUCUUUAGGCUUAGGAUGUGUAGGAUAGGUGGGAGGCUUUGAAGCGGCGACGCCAGUCGCCGUGGAGCCAUCCUUGAAAUACCACCCUUGCUAAGUUUGAGGUCUAACCGCGGUCCGUAAUCCGGAUCCGGGACAGUGUCUGGUGGUCAGUUUGACUGGGGCGGUCGCCUCCCAAAAAGUAACGGAGGCAUCCAAAGGUUCCCUCAGACCGGUCGGUAAUCGGUCGAAGAGCACAAAGGCAUAAGGGAGCUUAACUGCGAGAUCGACGGAUCGAGCAGAUACGAAAGUAGGGCUUAGUGAUCCCGCGGUACAGCGUGGAAAGGCCGUUGCUCAAUGGAUAAAAGGUACUCUGGGGAUAACAGGCUGAUCUCCCCCAAGCGUUCACAGCGACGGGGAGGUUUGGCACCUCGAUGUCGGCUCGUCGCAUCCUGGGGCUGGAGAAGGUCCCAAGGGUUUGGCUGUUCGCCAAUUAAAGCGGCACGCGAGCUGGGUUCAGAACGUCGUGAGACAGUCCGGUCCCUAUCCGGUGUGGGCGUAUGAUACUUGCGGGAACCUGACCUUAGUACGAGAGGACCGGGUCGGACGCACCUCUAGUGUACCGGCUGUCGCGCCAGCGGCAUCGCCGGGUAGCUAUGUGCGGAUUGGAGAAACGCUGAAAGCAUCUAAGCGUGAAGCCAUCCCCAAGAUUAGGUAUCACUGGGUAUAACCCCUGUAGGUCCGUCGGAGACCACGACGUUGAUAGGUCGCAGGUGUAAGCGUAGCGAUACGUUGAGCCGAGCGAUACUAAUAGACCGUGAGGCUUUUC
rnacentral:rRNA from 1 species